rnacentral:tRNA from 1 species
CGAGAUGUAGCCUAGUUGAGCAGGGCGCUGCAUUUGGGUUGCAGAGGUCGCAGGUUCAAAUCCUGUCAUCUCGACCA